rnacentral:misc_RNA from 1 species
AACAUCGCGCACCUGCGGGAACCUGCGGAGGGAUCAUUACCGAGUGAGGGCCCUCCGGGUCCAACCUCCCACCCGUGUUUAACGAACCUUGUUGCUUCGGCGGGCCCGCCUCACGGCCGCCGGGGGGCACCCCGCCCCCGGGCCCGCGCCCGCCGAAGACACCUGUGAACGCUGUCUGAAGUUGCAGUCUGAGACACUAGCUCAAUCAGUUAAAACUUUCAACAACGGAUCUCAGAUCGG